GCAUAACUGCAACGUGUUCGGUGAUUCCGCACAGGCUCAGCAAUGACAUCACAGCCCUGAUAGUCCUUGCCAUCGAGAUGACACGAAGACCUGUGACAUCAGUGUCUUUCUUUCCAAUCCUUAAGAGCAACUCAGCUGUGAGCUCAUCAUGCCUGAGCUACUGCGGCGCAUCAUCUCCUGUCAUCUAAUGAGCUGGCAGAGCAGCCUGGCAUUAUGGCAGGCCAAAAUCAUGACUCUCUC